rnacentral:rRNA from 1 species
UACAGAGGUCCCGAGCGUUGUUCGGAUUUAUUGGGCGUAAAGGGUGCGUAGGCGGCGGAGUAAGUUGGGUGUGAAAUCCCGGGGCUCAACCUCGGAAUGGCAUUCAAUACUGCUUCGCUAGAGUACUGGAGAGGAGGCUGGAAUUUACGGUGUAGCAGUGAAAUGCGUAGAUAUCGUAAGGAAGGCCGGUGGCGAAAGCGAGCCUCUGGGCAGUUACUGACGCUGAUGCACGAAGGCCAGGGGAGCAAACGGG